rnacentral:rRNA from 1 species
UCCCUUAGUAACUGCGAGUGAAGAGGGAAAAGCUCAAAUUUAAAAUCUGGCAGUGUUUUACUGGCCGAAUUGUAUCCUAAAAAAGUGGAACCCGUGCUGGACCGUGUAAAAGUCUCCUGGAAUGGAGCAUCAUAAAGGGUGAGAAUCCCGUCUUUGACAUGGACUACCGGUGCUCCGUGGUUGUGCUCUCCACCAAUCCAGUUGUUUGGGAAUGCAGCUCUUAAUGGGUGGGAAAUUCCAUCUAAAGCUAAAUAUUGGCGAAAGACCGAUAGCGAACAAGUACCGUGAGGGAAAGAUGAAAAGAACUUUGGAAAGAAAGUUAAACAGUAUGUGAAAUUGUUGAAAGGGAAACGUUUGAAGUCCGUCCCGUUGGUUGGGGAUCAGCCUAACAAAAUUGUUGGGUGUACUUCCUGGUUAACGGGCCCACAUGAAUUUUGAGCAUCAAAAAAAGGCCUUUGGAAUGGGGCACCCUUGGGUGGUGUAAUACCUUCGGGCAUUAUUUGUGGUUCGG